CAUAAAUCGUUUCAACGCGUGUGCAGCAGGUACUUGACAAGACGCUUGAUGCACAAGGUUCACAUGACGCAACAAACACAUAUUUUGAAAACACGAGCAACACACAUGACACUCCAAACACAUAUUUUGAAUUUGCGCCCCUUGGAAAGAAGUCACCGGCCGCCACUUCUUUUCUUAGCAGCGCAAUGGAGGACGAGGGUUUCACUUGGUGGAGUAUUUUUGGCGUUUUAUGUCUUGUUACAGAAAUAAAACUCUAUAAUCUUCUAUAAUCGUGUUUUCUGUGUUCAUUGCAUAUGGUGGUUUAAGCUGUUGGGUCAGUAUGUCUACCUUGAAUUGUUUUGCCAAGUGUUUACUGUAAAUGCAGAUAUUGUAUACGAGUCGCGGAUACAGGAAACAAAUUGAAAUUGUCCAUCAAGAUUUGCAUGUAAAUCCAGCAUUAAAAGGUUUUGCAUCUGAACUCCUCAUAUGUAAUUUAUUAAAAGGUAAACAUUAAGACAGACUUUACUAAAUAGACAGGAAUUAUUCCAUUUCUAUGUAAAAGCAUAAAAAUUAAUCCAAUUCUUGAGCCCUGUAGUUUCUCUUUCAUGAAACCUUAUUCAUUUGAUCUUCACUUCCCUCCUGCAUCUUCUGUCUGUCUCUCAUCUUCUCUCUCUCAGUCACCCUGCUGAUACAGAGAUAACAGACGGGCUGUAAGAGAAUCCAGGUCACAGCAGAUGAGGAAGGAAUUUGAUUUGGUUUGAAAUCGAGAUCUGUUAAGACCCCUGGAGAUGCAGAAAUAACUACAGAACGUAAUUUCAUUAGCUUUGAGUCGUCUUUCAAGAUCUUACGUGCAUCCAAACGCUUGCAAUUUAUUUCACUCUUUUGCUUCACAGAAACGCGAAACCGUCUUUCUCAAUCGAUUUUUCUCCUUGACUUUGUGCUCGGCUGUGAUGUUGUCUCCCUUUGUGCCACACGGUUCGAUUUACCCGGCAGACAGAGCGUGUCUCGCCAUCACGUCCACACUGAAUACACAGACACCUGUUUCCCGGACCGCUGCGUGAUGGAUGAUGGAAAAUGUGGCCCGUGUGUUGUCAUGGAAACGGAGGUGUACACCUGCUUCCUGAAUCCUGACAGCAUUGAUGGCUAAAGUGCAGUUUGGAGAGAGAGAGAUUAUCUCACCUGAUAAUGUCACACAUCUCCAUGACAACCAGUAAAACUCCACCAUUGCCAUCAGAUAGUGGAAACAGUGUGGAGAAAUACAGAUGAAUACAGUUUAAUGAAGCGGACGGUCUGAGAAAGAAAGUGAGAGAAAAAACAAGAGCAGAAGGAAAGAAACAGAUGGAAAAGAAAAGGUAAAACCCAUUUGAUUUGAUUACAGUCAAUUAACCACAAACUAUAACCAAUAAAAAUCUUAUUUCCCUCUUUGACUUAUAAAUAAGUUAUGUUUUAGGGGCUUUUUGUACUUUUAUUUGUAGCUGAUUGGAGAUAUGGGAAUGGGAUCGACAAAAGGACCUCAGAGAUUGGGAACGUUUCUCGGGUCACCGUGAGCACACUAGCGCUAUGUGUCGAUGCACU